GAGCGAAGGAUGCAAGCGUUAUCCGGAUUCAUUGGGUUUGAAAGGGAGCGUAGGUGGUCUUAUUAAGUCAGUGGUGAAAUCUCGUGGGCUUAACCCAGAAAUUGCCAUUGAUACUGUAUAUCUUGAAUGUCGUAGGAGGUUAGCGGAAUGUUGCAUGUAGCGGAUGAAAUGCUUAGAUAUGUUACAGAACACCAAUUGCGGAAGGCAGCUAACCUAUGCGAUGAUUGACGCUGAGGCACGAAAGCGUGGGGAGCAAACAGG
rnacentral:rRNA from 1 species